CAGUAGCCGCGGUAAUACAGAGGGUGCAAGCGUUAAUCGGAAUUACUGGGCGUAAAGCGCGCGUAGGUGGUUUGUUAAGUUGGAUGUGAAAUCCCCGGGCUCAACCUGGGAACUGCAUCCAAAACUGGCAAGCUAGAGUAUGGUAGAGGGUGGUGGAAUUUCCUGUGUAGCGGUGAAAUGCGUAGAUAUAGGAAGGAACACCAGUGGCGAAGGCGACCACCUGGACUGAUACUGACACUGAGGUGCGAAAGCGUGGGGAGCAAACAGGAUUAGAUACCCCGGUAGUCCCUGUCUCUUAUAC
rnacentral:rRNA from 1 species